ensembl:lncRNA
AAUUUUCACAUGGAUUUAUUAAAAAAGCUUUUCCUUCAAGACAGAGAAAAAAAAAGUCAGACAUUUUGGGCAUAAACACGUCUUUCUGGAAAUCUUGGGUGGUUCGCUCUGAAAUCUGCGAACACCCACUCCUCCCUACUGUCUAGAGCAGAGAGGCCACGGGGGUGUUUCAGUGCACUUUAACAACCGCAUCUGCAGGGGCGACAGCACACAAGGCGCACCCUGAGAGCUGCUCGCCUCCUAGCAUAUAACUAAUUGUUCCAAAAAGCACCAAAAUAAUCAGUAAAUGACAACUGUGCGUGAUUUUGUGAUCGGUUUUGUGGCAUUACGUUGUCACCAAGGCAUCAUUAAAGCAGUGGUAUUUGGGACGUGAGCAUGUUCAAGUUCACGGUGACUCCAUUUAGCACAACCCUUUCCCUUCUCCUCUUCCUCCCCUUAGACAGAAAACUGGGGAGGAAAAUUUGCAGCUCCCAGCUCCUUCCUUUUCUGGGGGGAAUGAUGGGGACUGAUGCUCUUGCCAUGGAAAUAGCUCCAAUAUGAAUGCUGGGCACCUCCCUUUGAGCUCUGCCAGCAUUGCUAACUCACUUUGGCCAGCAGUCUGGCUGCAAACAGGAGUCAAGGGCUGAUGCCUCCAGAGGUUUACGCAGCCCAGUGCUGGAGAUCCUGAGGCCACAACUACACCUUUGCCACUCGCUGCCCCGCAGCACUGGCGUGCCUUCUGCACCUGCCCCUGCUUCACAGAAAAGCUGUUUUAGAGCCUGACAAAUUCAGCAGUGUUGUUGCGUUUCUCAUCCCUCUCCCUGUAAUAUCUAGUUGCCGUAGUUACCUCGUGUAUCUAAGGCAACCAGAUGUUACAGACGGAGCACUGAAAUAGCAUCAACAAGUGUAAGAAUCACAAGUGCUUUAACUAGCUGGCCCGGGUUAAGCCGCCGGGGGCGGUUUCCCUCCCAGCUCUGUCCUGUGCCACCUCCUCUGACAAAACACGAUGGCCCAAAGCCCCACCCAGCCUGGCCUUAAAACCUCCAGGGAUGGGGCAUCCACAGCUUCUCCGGGCAGCCUGUGCCAGGGCCUCACAGAGCAGGUUGCCCCGAGAAGUUGUGGAUGCCCCAUCCCCGGAAAUGAUCAAGGCCAGGCUGAACAGCAAAGAAUUAGUAGCUGCUCCAAGCCACCCCAAAAGGCAAAGAACUCAGGCGUGGAAGAGUGCAUGGGAGGCGCUCAGAAGCACACCAAUGUGCUGCAAGAAAUAAGAAAGACAACGACUACACCUGCACCAGAACAGCUACUCUGGAGGCCUCGAUCAAUGCCUUGGCUGCUGCAUAAAUACAGAGAAAGGCUCAUUCGUGGCAGGACGAGUUUCCCACAGAUGGUAAACAGAUGUCUCAGGUGUAUGGCAGAAGAAAAGGAAGCCCUUGAAUGGGAACCUCAGGCAAACACACUAGUCUGCACGAGUCCUGAGCCGACCAGCUCUGGAAACAGCAUCACUGCCCAUCUUGGAAACACUCCAGACAUUAUCCAUGUUGUCCUUUAGGCAGCCUGGCUUCUACAGAUGAUGUCUUCCCUUGCAGCAGGCAAUCCUGGGACCUCUGGGGAAGGGACAUGAAGCAACCUCGUUUGGCCCAUGUGGCAGGACCAGAAGGGGUACAGCGACAGGAGUCAAUGGAGGCCCCUGAGAGUUGCAAGGGCUGGUCACCACUCUGCGUAGGCAUGCAUUCGAAUAAACGCUACCGGCCCUCUUCA